CCUACGGGGGGCAGCAGUGGGGAAUAUUGCACAAUGGGGGAAACCCUGAUGCAGCGACGCCGCGUGAGGGAAGAAGGAAUUCGUGAUGUAAAGCUCUAUCUGCAGGGAAGAAAAUUACGGUACGUGAGGAAGAAGCCCCGGCUAAAUACGUGCCAGCAUCCGCGGUAAUUCGUAGGGGGCAAGCGGUAUCCGGAUUUACUGGGUGUAAAGGGGGCGUAGGCGGGAAUACAAGUCUGGAGGGAAAGGUUGGGGGUCAAACCUCGGAAUGCCUAUGAAACUGGACGGCUUGAGUGGAGGAGAGGUAAGCGGAAUGCGUGGUGUAGCGGUGAAAUGCGUAGAUAUUAGGAAGAACACCAGUGGCGAAGGCAGCUUACUGGACUGUAACUGACGUUGAGGCUCGAAAGCGUGGGUAGCAAACAGGAUUAGAUACCCCAGUAGUC
rnacentral:rRNA from 1 species